rnacentral:lncRNA from 1 species
GGGGCAGUGUGGGCUGUCCUGGGGAGGCCUGCUCAGCAGGAGGCUGUCAGGGCAGCUUUGCCGCUGGGAGCCAAACCAUUCCAGCUGUCUUUGAGGGAACACAGAUUCUUGCUGCACCACACCAAGGGAGGCUUCAGACAGGCAGCAGCUCCACAAUGACUCUGAGCAAGACCAGGAUCAAUGACCAGUGAAAGUAAAUGCCAGACCACAGUUGUCUCUGCAGGAUGCAUUCAUGGAGAGCUGGGAAUUUCCAUACCCUCCUGG